GCAUCCAAUGGAAAAAUGAACCAGAAAUGGACUCUAUAGUGAGAGAAAGAACACAACUUUUGAAGAUUCAUAAAAUCUAUUUAAAUGUACUGUGGACCCAUGAUGCCAUCAAUGAAGACAGGAUGUCAGCAGAGUGGGCUACUCACUGGGGCCUUCCUCUGAUCACAGCCCACGUUUCAGUGGGGGGCAGCUCCUAAGCCAAGUUCUGAAGGAAAGAUUGCCCUCUUGGACAUCUGGGUAGGAAUUGAACCUGAACAAACUUCUAACUAAAGCAAAGGAGGAAGAUGAAUGAAAGGAUAGCCACAUCUUCUAGGUAAAGGACUCGACAAGGCACAAUGCUUUUCCAGACAUGAUUCUGUCCAGUAAUGAAACCUGGAAGAAAAUGAAGAUUCUACUUUUGAAUUCUUAAGAAGGAAAGAAGAAGAAGUUGGGUACAGUCUA
rnacentral:lncRNA from 1 species